AGAAGGUGCACGUACAGAUGUGCAGAGUGUGCAUGGUGAGGGGGGCUGACGCCAGACUGUGGUGGGCCAUGUCUGAGGAGAGAUCCAGGCUCGGCCCAAAUGGAUUCCCCCACAUGGCUGCCAUGGUGAUGGCGGUGACCGGAGUUCAGCUCAUUGGAGGACAGGUGAGACAGUAUCAGUCUCAUGUAUGUUCUAAGACUGAC